GACUCCCGACCGACAACUCAACUUAUCAGUGUCAGCACCAGCAGGGAGCAACACCUACCACUGACGGCCCCACAGCCUAACUAGCCCCAUAAAACACCCACGAAGAAGAAGACAAUGACGCUGUGUUACUAGUACUUACUACUUAUUAGCAACAGGAGCAGUGACGCCAUGCUGGUGCUGGUGCAGAAGUGAUGGUCUGAGGCAGUGCUGUGCUCAGCGCUCCCUGUGUCCUCACCGCCGCUGACUUCUGUUGCAGUGGAGGCUGCAAGGCUAGACAGCAGCCUGAGUGGCCGGGACCAGCAGGAGCAGACUGUCUGUGGUGUGAGGAUCAGUGGUGAUCAGGAGAGCCACCACCACCACCUUGCUGCUGGCAUCUCCAGCUUAUAUAGGAAAGUGAAAGUUUGUGUUCAAGAAGACUUUAGACUGAGAACAGGUCCACUAGACACAGCCCUGCACACACUGGUGAAGGAAACCAUGAGUGCCAAGAGUGUGGGAAAAGACUCCCUAGGAAGGGUGACCUCACCAAGUACACCCACACACUCUGGAGGAAGACCUCAUGAAUGCCAUGAGUGUGGCAAAAAGUUCAGGCUUAAGGGUGACCUCAACAGACACACCCUUACACACACUGGUGAAAGAUCUCAUGAAUGCCGUGAGUGUGGCAAAAAGUUCAGUCUCAAGGCUAACCUCAUCUCACACAUACUUACACACACUGAUGAAAGACCUCAUGAAUGCCAUGAGUGUGGCAAAAAGUUCAGCAGGAAGAGUCACCUCAACAGACACACCCUUGCACACACUGGUGAAACACCUCAUGAAUGCCGUGAGUGUGGCAAAAAGUUCCGCAGGAAGAGUACCCUCAACAUACACACCCUUACACACACUGGUGAAAGACCUCAUGAAUGCAAAGAGUGUGGCAAAAAGUUCACUCAGAAGAGUGUCCUCAAGGCACACACCCUUACACACACUGGUGAAAGACCUCAUGAAUGCCAUGAGUGUGGCAAAAAGUUCAAUCAGAAGAUUAUCCUCAACAAACACACCCUUACACACACUGGUGAAAGACCUCAUGAAUGCCGUGAGUGUGGCAAAAAGUUUAGUAAUAAGAGUUACCUCAACACACACACACUCACACACACUGGUGAAAGACCUCAUGAAUGCCAAGAGUGUGGCAAAAAGUUUAGUAAUAAGAGUAACCUCAAGAAACACACCCUCACACACACUAGUGAAAGACCUCAUGAAUGCAAAGAGUGUGGCAAAAAGUUUAGUAUCAAGAGUAACCUCAAGAAACACACACUCACACACACUAGUGAAAGACUUCAUGAAUGCAAAGAGUGUGGCAAAAAGUUUAGUAAUAAGAGUAACCUCAACACACACACCCUCACGCACACUGGUGAAAGACCUCAUGAAUGCCAAGAGUGUGGCAAGAGGUUCGGUUCUAUGUCUUAUCUCAAUGUGCACAUCUUCAGACACUCUGGCUUGAGAGAGUUCAAGUGUGAUGUUUGUGGGAAGCACUUCAAGGUGAAGGCAGAUAUUGCCAACCACAUGAAGAUCCACUUCCCCUGAGGUUCUGUGUGUGAUGGUGGAGGGCGGCGGGUCGCAGCCACGUCCUGGUUCUGCUGACGGGUCAUCUUCCUCGAUGCAUCAGCAUGAGCCUCGCCGGUGCUGGUGCAGAAGUGAGGGUCUGAGGCGGUGCUGUGCUCAGCGCUCCCUGCGUCCUUCCUGCCGCUGACUUCUGUUGCAGUGGAGGCUGCAAGCCCGGGCAGCAGCCUGAGCGGCCGGGACCAGCAGGAGCAGACUGUCUCUGGUGUGAGGGUCAGGGGUGAUCAGGAGAGCCACCACCACCACCACCACCUUGCUGCUGGCAUCUCCAGCCAUAAAGGAAAGGGAAAGUUUGAGUUCAAGAAGACUUGAGACUGAGAACAGGUCCACUAGACACAGCCUUGCACACACUGGUGAAGGAAACCAUGAGUGCCAAGAGUGUGGGAAAAAAUUCCCUGGGAAGGGUGACCUCACCAAGUACACCCACACACUCUGGAGGAAGACCUCAUGAAUGCCAGGAGUGUGGCAAAAAGUUCAGGCUUAAGGGUGACCUCAACAGACACACCCUUACACACACUGGUGAAGGAAACCAUGAGUGCCAAGAGUGUGGGAAAAAAUUCCCUGGGAAGGGUGACUUCACCAAGUACACCCACACACUCUGGAGGAAGACCUCAUGAACGCCAUGAGUGUGGCAAAAAGUUCAGUCACCUCAACAUACACACCCUAACACACACUGGUAAAGGACCUCAUGAAUGCCAAGAGAGUGCCAAAAAGUUCAAUUAUAAGAGUGCCCUCAACAGACACACCCUUACACACACUGGUGAAAGACCUCAUGAAUGCCAAGAGUGUGGCAGGAGGUUCAUUUCUAUGUCUGUGUUGAACAAGCACAUCUUCAGACACUCUGGCCUGAGAGAGUUCAAGUGUGAUGUUUGUAAGAAACAUUUCAAGACCAAGCAGGAUAUUGCCAAACACAUGAAGAUCCACUUCCCCUGAGGUGCUGUGUUGUGCUGCUCGAUGUGUGUGUGUGUGUGUGUGUGUGUGUGUGUGUGUGUGUGUGUGUGUGUGUGUCCAGCAUCUAUUAUUAUUAUUAUUAUUAUUAUUAUUAUUAUUAUUAUUAUUAUUAUUAUUAUUAUUAUUAUUAUUAUUAUUAUUAUUAUUAUUAUU